UCAGAGAGUUGUGCAGCUUGGAAGGGAUGGCGACCUCCGCCUCCUUCAUGUUGGCCUGAAGGGAUGAGGAGAGAGCCAGGGAUACAUUAAGCUCAAGAAAUACAGAGUGAGGAAACAUCUCCUAAUCCAGUUCUACACAGCCAUCAUCCAAAGCAUCCUCACAUCAUCCAUCACAGUCUGGCACAGCAGUUCAGACCACCUCUCCCGGAAUAAACUUCAACGUAUCGUCAAUAAAGCAUCAAAAAUCACCUGUAGUCCCCUUCCAUCACUCGAAUCACUUCACCACCAACGAACUGUCACAAGGGCAAGGAAAAUCAUUUCUGACCCCUCCCACCCAGCUCACCAUGUCUUCCAACUUCUGCCCUCAGGGAGGCGCUACAGGUCACUGUCCACCAAAACCGCCCGCCUCAAAAACAGCUUCUUCCCCUUUGCUAUACGGACACUAAAUGGACUCUAAAUAACCCCGAUGAACAAUCACAUCAAUCACACCUUGAACUUUAUGUAUAUAAGUCAUGAUGUAUGUAUUUGCCCUGUGCUGUGUGUUGUACUUUUUAUUGUAUGUUGAAUUGUAUGGAA